GAUGAAGAACGCAGCGAAAUGCGAAAAGUAGUGUGAAUUGCAGAAUUCAGUGAAUCAUCGAAUCUUUGAACGCACAUUGCGCCCGCCAGUAUUCUGGCGGGCAUGCCUGUUCGAGCGUCAUUUCAACCCUCAAGACCCCUUCGGGGGACUUGGUGUUGGGGACCGGCACAGGGGCCUGCCUGCUUGUCUUGCAGCGCCCUCGCCGCCCCCGAAAUGAAUUGGCGGCCUCGUCGCGGCCUCCCCUGCGUAGUAGCACAAACCUCGCAACGGGAACGUGACGGCGGCCACUGCCGUAAAACAACCCAAUUUUAUUAGAGUUGACCUCGAAUCAGGUAGGAAUACCCGCUGAACUUAAGCAUAUCAAUAAGCGGAGGA
rnacentral:misc_RNA from 1 species